GACGAACGCUGGCGGCGUGCUUAACACAUGCAAGUCGAACGGAAAGGCCCUGCUUUUGUGGGGUGCUCGAGUGGCGAACGGGUGAGUAACACGUGAGUAACCUGCCCUUGACUUUGGGAUAACUUCAGGAAACUGGGGCUAAUACCGGAUAGGAGCUCCUGCUGCAUGGUGGAGGUUGGAAAGUUUCGGCGGUUGGGGAUGGACUCGCGGCUUAUCAGCUUGUUGGUGGGGUAGUGGCUUACCAAGGCUUUGACGGGUAGCCGGCCUGAGAGGGUGACCGGCCACAUUGGGACUGAGAUACGGCCCAGACUCCUAAGGGAGGCAGCAGUGGGGAAUAUUGCAAAAUGGGCGGAAGCCUGAUGCAGCAACGCCGCGUGCGGGAUGACGGCCUUCGGGUUGUAAACCGCUUUCGCCUGUGACGAAGCGUGAGUGACGGUAAUGGGUAAAGAAGCACCGGCUAACUACGUG
rnacentral:rRNA from 1 species